UGACAGACCCAGAGUUCAAUCUCAGGACCCA
rnacentral:piRNA from 1 species